rnacentral:rRNA from 1 species
AAGCGUUUCCGCGUCUUGUUGGCCCAAUCUUUUGGAUAAGGUAUCAUGGAGGUGAGAAUCCCGUACGGCUGAUAUCAUGACGUUUUACGAUACGCUUUCAAAGAGUCGAGUUGUUUGGGAUUGCAGCUCUAAAUGGGAGGUAAAUUUCUCCUAAGGCUAAAUAUUGGCGAGAGACCGAUAGCGAACAAGUACCGUGAGGGAAAGAUGAAAAGAACUUUGAAAAGAGAGUUAAAAAGUACGUGAAAUUGUUGAAAGGGAAACGAUUGAAGUCAGUCGUACCGACGAGAAAUCAACUCAACGAAUGGGUAAUUGCGGGCGUAUGAGAGCUUCGCGGUCUCAUUGUUUGUAAAUGCAUGUUCUUUGGGUGUACUUUUUCGUAUGGUAGGUCAACGUCGGUUUCGAUUGUUAUAAAAUGAUCGGAGGAAUGUAGCUUCGAUUUCGAUUGAAGUGUUAUAGCCUUUGGUAGAUAUAUUGAUCGAGACCGAGGAUUGCAACGAAUACCCUUUCGGGCUAUCCGUCUGACCUCUGAAAGUUGCUUAGGUGCCGAAAGCUUGC